rnacentral:rRNA from 1 species
CCUACGGGCGUCAGCAGUGAGGAAUAUUGGUCAAUGGGCGCGCGCCUGAACCAGCCAAGUCGCGUGAGGGAAGACGGUCCUAUGGAUUGUAAACCUCUUGUGUCGGGGAGCACAAGACGCCACGCGUGGCGUUCCGAGAGUACCCGAAGAAAAAGCAUAGGCUAACUCCGUGCCAGCAGCCGCGGUAAUACGGAGGAUGCGAGCGUUAUCCGAAUUUAUUGGGUUUAAAGGGUGCGCAGGCGGAAGAUCAAGACAGCGGUAAAAUUGAGAGGCUCAACCUCUUCGAGCCGUUGAAACUGGUUGUCGUGAGUGAGCGAGAAGUAUGCGGAAUGCGUGGUGUAGCGGUGAAAUGCAUAGAUAUCACGCAGAACUCCGAUUGCGAAGGCAGCAUACCGGCGCUCAACUGACGCUCAUGCACGAAAGUGUGGGUAUCGAACAGGAUUAGAUACCCUUGUAGUC